rnacentral:rRNA from 1 species
GCAGCGCGUCCUUCGGGAUGGCGGCGAGUGGCGAACGGGUGAGUAAAGCAUCGGAACGUGCCCGGUAGUGCGGGAUAGCUCGGCGAAAGCCGGAUUAAUACCGCAUGAGAUCCGUGGAUGAAAGCAGGGGACUCGCAAGGGCCUUGCGCUACUGGAGCGGCCGAUGUCAGAUUAGGUAGUUGGUGGGGUAAAGGCCCACCAAGCCUGCGAUCUGUAGCUGGUCUGAGAGGAUGAUCAGCCACAUCGGGACUGAGACACGGCCCGAACUCCUACGGGAGGCAGCAGUGGGGAAUUUUGGACAAUGGGCGCAAGCCUGAUCCAGCCAUGCCGCGUGCAGGAUGAAGGCCUUCGGGUUGUAAACUGCUUUUGUACGGAACGAAAGGGCUCUUUCUAAUAAAGAGGGCACAUGACGGUACCGUAAGAAUAAGCACCGGCUAACUACGUGCCAGCAGCCGCGGUAAUACGUAGGGUGCGAGCGUUAAUCGGAAUUACUGGGCGUAA